CAUUUUUAGACAUCAUUAGAAUUAAACAAUUUAUAGCUGAAAUAAUUAUGUAGAUAUAGUAGAAAGCUAACCUUAUUUUGGGCAAACUAAUCUUUUAGACUAUAAAUUUAACAACAAAUCUAGCAUGAAUAAUAAUUUUUUUCAACAAAUAUGCCAAAAAAAGUACAUAAUGAAAAGAAAUAGCAAAUAACUCACCUUUUGCAAGAAGUAGCUUUGGAGAAUAGAGGUAUUUAAUGGUGAUCUUAACUUAGAAAAUAAUGAGGGAGAGAAUUUGUCGAAGGACGGACAAAUUUUUGGGUGAAAUUUUGAGAAAAUAUGAAAGAAAUAGCUGUUUUGGAAGGCUAGGGUAGAGCGACUAGACAAUGAAAAGAAAAGAAAAAAAAAACCGAUUGCAUGUGAUUUGUGGCAAAUGCAUAUUUGUGCUAACGGCCAUUACCGUUAUUUAACGGUAAAUAAUGGCCGUUGCUUUUACGUAAUGGUGGUAACGGCUGUUACACCUAUAAUUCAAAAUUUGCUUAUAUAUAUCGGUUCUUCAAAAACUUGUAAAUGAAUGACCGUUAUUUGAAACCAUGAUGAGGACAUUAAAAUCAAAUCAAUUAAUUAAUUUAAUUAAAAAUUAAAACAAAUAACCUUUGUGUUAUU
rnacentral:misc_RNA from 1 species